UACGUAGGGUGCGAGCGUUGUCCGGAAUUAUUGGGCGUAAAGAGCUCGUAGGCGGUCUGUCGCGUCGAUCGUGAAAACUUGGGGCUUAACCCUGAGCUUGCGGUCGAUACGGGCAUGACUGGAGUUCGGCAGGGGAGACUGGAAUUCCUGGUGUAGCGGUGAAAUGCGCAGAUAUCAGGAGGAACACCGGUGGCGAAGGCGG
rnacentral:rRNA from 1 species